rnacentral:rRNA from 1 species
AGAGUUUGAUCCUGGCUCAGGACGAACGCUGGCGGCGUGCCUAAUACAUGCAAGUCGAGCGGAGCUGAUGAGGUGCUUGCACCUCUGAUGCUUAGCGGCGGACGGGUGAGUAACACGUAGGCAACCUGCCCUCAAGACUGGGAUAACAUUCGGAAACGAAUGCUAAGACCGGAUACGCAAACUAGUCGCAUGACAGGUUU